AGUCUGCGCUAGCAGCGUCGAGCCGAGCGCGUUCCUCGGUCCGGGCUGGCCGCAUGGCACCCUCGGCUAUAAGACGCCCCGGGGGGCGUUACAUUCCGAGGGCCUUUGACCGGCCGCCCAAACCGACGCUGGCCCGCCCGCGGGGAAGUACACCGGCACGAAUGCCGGCUGAACCCCGCGGGCGAGUCUGGUCGCAAGCGCUUCCCUUUCAACAAUUUCACGUGCUGUUUAACUCUCUUUUCAAAGUGCUUUUCAUCUUUCGAUCACUCUACUUGUGCGCUAUCGGUCUCCGGCCAGUAUUUAGCUUUAGAUGAAAUUUACCACCCAUUUAGAGCUGCAUUCCCAAACAACUCGACUCGUCGAAGGAGCUUCACACGGGCGCGGACACCCCAUCCCAGACGGGAUUCUCACCCUCUAUGACGGCCCGUUCCAGGGCACUUAGAUGGGGGCCGCUCCCGAAGCAUCCUCUGCAAAUUACAAUGCGGACCCCGAGGGGGCCAGCUUUCAAAUUUGAGCUCUUGCCGCUUCACUCGCCGUUACUGAGGCAAUCCCUGUUGGUUUCUUUUCCUCCGCUUUUUGAUAUGCA
rnacentral:rRNA from 1 species